rnacentral:miRNA from 1 species
AUGUGAAUUGCGAGGAAUCUUGGUAAAAUGCAGACACUAAUUCACUAGGUCUGUGUUUGAAAUUCUAUAUUUCUAACAAGCUCCCAGGGUAGUCUCAU